GGAGGCGCAGAUCCUUAGUCAAAUAGGGAUCCUGAUAGAGAUCUGUGACGAGCCAUCCGGGCGACGGACGAACUGCAUCAAAUAAAGUAGGAUUUGUCGGAUAAAGACAGAAAUUCAAAUACUCAAGCAUGCUCAUGCUUGGGAAGGGGGAAGCACUCCGGCACCUGUUCCUUAAUUCAAAUACUCAAGUCGAUUCGGAAAGGGGCCCCUGUUGAAAGCAAUAAAGGGGGUGCCUUAGCGUGCCCUUUCUCUAAUCCUAGGUAAAGCGAUUCGUGCACUCAUCCGCCCCACAAGG
rnacentral:lncRNA from 1 species